CGCCUCCACCGCUUACUUCCUAUGUAUGAUCCAUCUUUUCUCUUCUAAUCCCACUCUACCCGUUAACAUCUCUAAACACCCACCUCUAUCAAUCUCUUGCUUACUCUUUUAUUCUCCUAGCAAAUCAAUGAUGGACACCCCCUUACUUUCUACUGCUUUCUCGAUGCUUCUAUCUUCAAAUGUUUCCACCGAAUCAUUCACAGUCACUACCGUCUUGCUCCUCCGACUUCCAACUGCGACGCCCCUCGAGACGACUUCUUCAAAAACAACGACUUUUGGAGAUGAAACCCGUCGUCUGCCUCUAUGAGCUUAAGGAACCUGGGAUGGAACCAAGGUUUUAGUUUGGAUUUGAAAUCAAAUUACAAUUCAAAUUUGGAAUUCAAUCUUCUUCUGCUCUAUCCCCAAUACAGAACAAAAAAAGAAGAAGACAGAUGCCGAUGGUGAUGGUGACGGUGCCGACCACCGGAAAUUGCAGCGGGGGCGUCCAUUCGGUGGCUAUUAGAGGUAUCCGGGGACUGAGUUGUUGAACGAAGUGGAUAUAAUCGAUUCCUCUUUACAAGAUGUAUCUCCAACGCUACCUGGCUAAAACCGGGUGUACAACCGUUACAUAGCCAAUAUGACUAUGAAAGUGAAAAACAUACAAUACUUAAGAUUAGUAAUGAAGCAUUGGUUACAAGCGGGUUUGGUGCGGCAACAGUCGCAUCAGCUAUUUAACAUUGCUUCUUCAGAAGAACUUGAUAAAUGAUGACAUUAACGAUUAUGUGGAAGAGAGUUGAGCUUCAACAUGCUAAAGGGUCUAAUACCUAAUUGAAUGUAAGUUUGUUGCUCUUAGCAGUUACUAAUUGUAGUUUUUUGUUAAAAACUAUGCAUGUUGCUGUUAUUGAUAAAUGCAUGUGAAUAUAUUUAUGUUUUGGCAAAAAUAAUAAGUAUUUUGCUAUUAUUGAUAAAUAAACAUAAGUAUAUUGCUGUUUUUUGGUAAAAAUAAUAAGUAGGGUGCUAUUAUAUAUUAAUAAAUGCCAAUAACAUUUAGGAAUAAAGGUGCUUAUAUUUUCUUUUCUUCCUAUUAUAACAUUGUAGUUUAAAAAAAGUGAAAGUAGGAUUCUAUGAGAAGUUGUUAUGAAGUUUUUCAUAUUUCGUGAUUGCAAUUUUCAACUUCUCAUACCUUGCUCAUUCCAUUCCUUUUUGGGUUGUAUUAAGAAGUUGUUAUGAAUGAAUGUAUUUUGUGUUGAAUGAUGGUGGCAUCUGAGUGAAGUAUAUUUGAAGGAGAUAGAGAAAAAGAUAAAUGAGUUGGCUUAAGAUGCUAUGGUGUUUGUAGAUGAAAGGCCUGCUCCUUCAAGAACCCAACUGUUGGAGAAUAUGUUUGUUGAUCCAACAGGUGUUGUAAUUGCACCUGAUGACAGUUACAUUUACAUGUGUGAGGACCCCAAGUUUACCCAAAGAAACUGUUGUAAUUCAUUUCAAAUUGCUACUAUUUAAACAAGGUCAACUGUAAUAAAGGGUUAACUGCUUAGUAAACAAAAAAAAAAAAAAAACAGCCCCUCCGUCCCACGCGGAGCGUGGGCAUACCUGCUAGUUUUGAUUAAAAAGAGUAGUAAUUUCUAUUUGUUUCCAAGACACUUAUUGUAAUUUCUAUUUGUAAUAGGAAACUUUGUUAGUAUUUUCAUGUUGUAAAUUGUAAUAGAAAAACUAUAUUCAUAUUGUAUUUUGUAUUCUAUAUUUUAUAACUUUUCAAGCAAUGAUAUCACUUUGGAUCGUUCUUAUA